CAGUGAAUGUGUCUGUUAUUGGGUGUGUGUCUGCUAGUGAGUGUGUUACUGUGUGUGUCUGUUACUGAGUGUGUUUGAUGUCUGUUAGUGAGUGCGUGUUUGUCAGUGAAAGUGUAUGUUUUGUAAGUGAGUGUGUAUGUAUGUCUGUCGCUGAGUGUGUCUCUGUCAGUAAAUGUGUGUGUCUGUUAGCUAGUGUGUAUGCGUCUGUUCGUGAGAGUGUGUGUCUUCAGCAUUUACCUUUCUCCAGCGUCGGACUCCCCAGUGUCCGCCACUCAGCUCCGAAAUGCACAUGCGCGGCAAGAGGCGCGCGCGC